GACGAACGCUGGCGGCGUGCUUAACACAUGCAAGUCGAACGGAAAGGCCCUGAUAUUGUGGGGUGCUCGAGUGGCGAACGGGUGAGUAACACGUGAGUAACCUGCCCUUGACUUUGGGAUAACUUCAGGAAACUGGGGCUAAUACCGGAUAGGAGACCCUGCUGCAUGGUGGGGGGUGGAAAGUUUCGGCGGUCGGGGAUGGACUAGCGGCUGAUGAGCUUGUUGGUGGGGUAGGGGCAUACCAAGUCUUUGGAGGGUAGGCCGCCUGGGAGGGUGGCCGGGCACAUGGGUACUGAGGUAGGGACCAGUGGCCAACGUUAGACAACGGUGGGAAGUCUUGCACAGUGGGCGCAAGCCUGAGACAACAGCGCCGCGUUCGUGAUGACGUCCUUCUGGUUGUAAACCGCUGUCGCCUGUGACGAAGCGGGAGUGACGGUAAUGAGUAAAGAAGCACCGGCUAACUACGUG
rnacentral:rRNA from 1 species